AUGGCGCUGGAGCGGGCCGGGGCGCAGCGAGGGCUCAGGGCCGGUCGGAGGGCGGCGGUGGAGAGAUGGCGGCCGGGCCUGCGCACCGGGGGAGAACCGCGCUGCGGCACGGCCGGGGCGGGCCCAGCUGUAGCUGCCCGUGCGCCGCGCUGUGUCCGGCAGCAGCGCGGAGCCGUCGGCGUGGCGGUGCUGAGGUCCAGCCCAGUGCGGAGACCGGUGCCGAUAGCCCUCUUCAUCUCCCUGCAGGGCCAGAAUCGUGGCGUCAGCCUGAUCCGGCAGCACGGGGACAGGUCUUGGGGUCGGGUCCCGCGGCAGCCUGCAUUCCUCACCGAGCCAGUUGCAGCACCGCCUCCACCACGCUGGUGCUGUCCUUGGCGCUGGUCUCGCAGAACAGGCAGCCGUGGGCCUGGGGGUGGCAGUGGGGCCCUGGUUACCCAGGGGGCCCUGAGAAGCUGCUGCUCGCUAUGGCCAGUUGCAGCCUCUGACCUGUGUGGACCCCUUCUGCCUAGCCAGGCUGCAGGUCCGACUUGUUCCCCACCAACAUCAAUGGCUGUGACUGCUUGGUGUCCUGCAGGAUGGAAGGGUGGCAUGGGGCUCUUUGGGGCUGGCAGCCUACAGCCACAUUGGCUGCCUCCCAUCAUGCCUCUGCUGAGCCUGGGAGCCAAAUGCAGUUCCGGGCCUGAUACAAACACUAGGAAGAGGGAAAACGUUGGGGGAAGCACUCCCACUUUCCUGGGGGGUCCCCAUUGCCUGGCAGUAGCCCAGCUCCUGCCUGUCUCAUUCCUAUUCCCCAGGACAGGUUGGGGCACAGCACAUCCUACCCUCCUGAAGCCGUCAAGGCUCAAGGCUCCUGCCCCUCUCUUGGGGGCUGUUGUCUUGGACCCUUCCCACCUUGAUGUCCUCAGUCCACUGGCAGAUGCUGAGGAAGCUGCUCAGGGAGCUGAUUUUGUAGAGGAGCAGCACGCCAUGGGCUUUGUGGAAUUAGGAUUGGGUGAUACUCCGUUACCUAAGGCUGGGGGUGUCACUGCUGCUGGUGCAGUGACUGGCUGCUGUGGGGCUGCUGCUGGAACCCUGGCACAGCCCCAGGCCUCCUGGCCCUAUGCUCUCACGUCUCCUGCCCAGCUGUGUUCCAGAUCUGUAAUGUGGCUUGUUCCCCAUCCACCGGCAGCUGCUUGA
rnacentral:lncRNA from 13 species